rnacentral:rRNA from 1 species
CCAAUAGCGUAUAUUAAAGUUGUUGCAGUUAAAAAGCUCGUAGUUGAAUUUCGGGAUCAAUUUAUCGGUCGUGCCAAUGGUAUGAACUGGUACAAUUGGUUUCUCCCUUCUGACGAAGCAUGAUGUCAUUAAUUUGGUGUCGUGGGGAAUCAGGACUGUUACUUUGAAAAAAUUAGAGUGUUUAAAGCAAGCAUUAGCUUGAAUACAUUAGCAUGGAAUAAUGAAAUAGGACGUUUGAUCCUAUUUCGUUGGUUUCUAGGAUCGACGUAAUGAUUAAUAGGGAUAGUUGGGGGCAUUAGUAUUCAAUUGUCAGAGGUGAAAUUCUUGGAUUUAUUGAAGACUAACUACUGCGAAAGCAUUUGCCAAGGAUGUUUUCAUUAAUCAAGAACGAAAGUUAGGGGAUCGAAGACGAUCAGAUACCGUCGUAGUCUUAACCAUAAACUAUGCCGACUAGGGAUCGGAUGGUGUUAAUUUUUUAAUGACUCAUUCGGCGCCUUACG